UACUCGGUUAAUUUAGUAAAUUGUAUACAUAGUGGUAUUUUUCAGAUUAUUAUAGUAUAUUUUAUCAAUAUAGGAUACUUUUGGAUGUUAUGGUAUCAAGUUUUCUGAUUUUUAAUUAUUAAAUUAAUAUUUCAAAAAUAUUAUAUUACUUUGAAUUCUUACAACCUAUUUUUGUGUUACUUUUCAAAAAAUUAUAUUUUAGCAUCUAUUAUUUUAUCUCUUACAAAAUUUAAAACUUUAUCAUUUUUGGAUUUUAAUAUUUAAUUUUCAAUUUUUUGAAAAAUUACACAACCAUUUUUGAGUUUGGAAGAUUAUAUGAUUUUUGAAUUUGUUUUCUACAAAAUCAAUUCAUUAUUUUAUAAGAAUAUAUUUGAAUUUUUGGUAAGAUUUUUUAAAACAUUUCUCCAGAUAUUUUGUUUUAAUUUAAAUAAAUAUUAAAUUGAUAAUGAAAAUAAUUUUUAUUAAUACCUUUAAUUAGUUAUUAAAAUUUCAAAUAUUUCUAGUAACAUAUUUUGUAAAUAAUACAUGAACUAAAUGUUAGUUAUGUACUAUAAUAUUUUGUAUUUAAUCAUUUUUAGAUAAUAUAAUUGAUUUUUUUCCAAAGUAAACAAAAAAUAAUAUAUAGUUGUAAAUAAAAUUUUAACAUAUGUUAAUGAUUUUAGUUUUUGCAUACAAUAUUAGAUAGUUUAAGAUGUUUUAUCGAUGAAUGAUAAAAUUAGUUAAAUGAAAGCAUUUUAAAAAUAGGUUAAUCUACCAAUUUAAUGUAAUUUUUUUUUAUAUUUAGUUGAUAGAGCACACCUAUUUUAAUAGUAUUGAUAAUUUAUAAUCAUAAAUUUAUAAAAUAACAUAAUUUUUAAUGAUAAAUUCUAAUUAAGUUAUUAUAUUAUUAAUUACAAAAUUAAUUAAUGCAUGAUUUUUAAAAAAUAUUUAAAAUGUUUGGUAGGAUUUUGUUAGAUUUGUUUCAACAGAUUUUCUUAGAAUUGAAAAAAUUCAAAUUUAUUGAUUUAUUAUUAAUAUCUUAUUGAGUAUUAAGAUCUAAUAUAAAUAUUUAAAUAUUUUACAUUAAGUAAUUAUUUAAAUGGUCUUACUAUUACUUGUCAAUAGUAGAUAAAAAAUAUGACACUUAAUUAAUGGAUUAGAUUUAUAAGCUAUUAAGGUUGGGAUUUCGGAUAUUCAGCUCAGGUUCAGGUAAGAUCCGAUCGGGUUCGGAUCAAUGAAUUAUAUAUCCUAGUUAUUUAAUAAGUUUUGGUUCACACCGGUUCACACCGGUUCGGAUCGGUUCCGGAUAUCCUUUUAUAAUGUGAAUCAUAUAUACUUUUACAAAAUAAAAUAAUUUACAUAUAAACUGACGUGGUCUAGAUAUUUAUUUUUAUUUAUUUUCUUUUUUAAAGAAAAAAUAAAUCAAAAUCGUAUAUCCUUUAUAUACUAAAGCACAAGUCACAUGGCUAAUCAAAUUUUAUAGUUGGAAAACACUUUAAAAAAAAAGUGUUUGAAAAUAAUUCUUUUUCAUCCCUAAUUUUUAGUAAUUAUAUCUUGAUAUUUCAUCCACGUUCAGAAAAUCUCAUUUCCACGAUUUCAAACUGUUUUCCUUUUUUUAUAACCCUCUGUUUUUUUUUUGACUUCAAAGUUCCUUUUAUAUUCAGUUACAAAAAAAAAAAAAAAGUUCCUUUUAUAUUUCAUCGUUGCCAUACAGAGUUACAGACAACCAACACCAACACAACAAACCGAGUAAUGCCCCGUGGAAACAACAGAAACAGAGCGCAUAACCCCAAAAACAGAGGAGACUCCACCCUCUCCUUACAACCUUCGUACUCAACCCUCUGUUAUCUCCCCUUUUUUCUAUAUUCCCCAACAAAAAAAGAUCUUAUAAUCUCUCUUAAAUUUUCAAUUUUGACAUGUGUUUCUUUAUAUCUUCUUUUCUUUCUGCAACAAUUUUUUUUUCUUCGUCUAGAUUAGUACUUAAAAAUCAUUUAUCGACAAGAUUUUAUAUUGAUUUGGUGGAAUUAUGGGAAGCAAUUGAUACUGGUACGAUAAUAGUCACGGUUUAGAGAGAGUAUCGAGCAUAAAAUAUUUUUCUCCUGGACAACCAUAACUACACUCUCGGCAUUUAUCUUCGAGUUGAAUAUACGAAGCAUAAGGUUUUGGCCUUGACAAAGAAGGUUUUGCAUGUUUUCAAUUCUCUACAGUUUUUCUUUGAUUUGUUGACUGAUUUUUCAUUUGUUGAAUUUUUCUUUUCCAGUAUUCCUUACAGCAGAGCUUGAAUUUCUGAAUCCAAAGAUGAAUUUACUUUAUUUAAUCUUUUUUUUUGCUGAAAUUUAACUUAAUUAUUGCCAGACAAUUCUUUUUAAUAUAUAACAGGCAAGCUAAAGUUAUAAAUUUUGAUCUUAUAAAUUCAACAAACUAUCAAAAUAAGUAAUGUGGGUUAAUUUUGUUUAAAUGUAUGUUUUUUGAAAGAAAAAAAGAUGUUAGGUAAAUUAACAUAAAAUGUCAAUUUUAAUCUAUAAAACUUUAAAUAGCAAAUUUAUUACAUUCAUCCUAUCUAAAUUCUGCACUAAACUACAUUAAGUAUUUGUUAUUCUGUAUGUAAUCAUCAAAUAUUGUAUUUCAAGUAUAUUUUGUAUUUUGGUAUAUAUUUUAUGUACUUUUGAAAAAUUCUACAAACAUGUAUCAAUUUUAUAAUGAAAUCAAAGUUAUUGGUUUAUCCCUUUAACCGUUUUGUUUCAAUGGAUAUCUAUACUAUACUAAAAGCCAGAUAUUCUCAAUGGAGAAGGGAUCCACGUCACAUUAAUAAUUCAGACCAAUCAUAGAGUUGUAUUGUGCCAUGUCAUAUGUUCCUCACACAUCCAAAAUUAGUUCGACGACUUCGUCUUCCUCCUUUUCCUCGAAGAAAUCCCAACCGUUUCACCUCUUCUCCUCUGUAACAUUAAAAUUGUGACUCAUAAAGCUUUAUCAUUUAGUGCAAUCACUAUAUAAUCUACCUCUUCACAUCCAAUUUUGCUGAGGAGAAGAAGAACUACAACGUAGAAUCUAUAUUUCCCCGGUCAUGCCAAUGUCAUCAACUCUGGAUCAAGCGCUAAAUCUCUGUCAUCAACCAAACACUGAUCAUGAAGAAAUCAGCAAACUCCCAUCUUCAAAAGCCAAGGAUAACAGAAAGUCAUCAUCCAACUUUCCAGACUUCUGCAACUGGUCUCCAUGAGCUCCAAACUACGUGUUUAUCCUAAUCGUUAAGUUCUCAUUCUUUGGGUUCUUGAUCUUCCAUUACAUCAGAUUCAUCACCGUUAAAUCCUUCAAGAUUUUCUAACAGCGAGAUGGCUUCACCAAAAUGGAACUGAGGUGAAACACAGUCUGGAAACUCAAAUUCCUAUUGGCUCCACCUUCAUCACCAUCGGUAUCCAAAGAAGCCAGUGCCGUCCUAAUACUUUGAUAGUGAUUAAGUUGAGGCUUGAGGCGUAUUGAUGGCACAACGACCAGAUUGUUCUACUUCAUAUGAUAGUUUAGUCGGAUCCUGUAACACACUUUUGAGAAUAACCAUUUACAAGUACCUACUGCUUAAUCCACGAAAGUCUUUUGUCUCCACGGGAAGGUCUCCCAUCGUCCUGUAUUAUAACAAUCAAGGGAGUUAGGCAUGGAUAUAAGAUCAGAACGAUUGUUGGUUUUGAAGCAUAACCCGUGUUCCGAUCAUGUCAGAGCUCCCAAAACAACACGGAUGACCAUAGUCAGAAUCAAAAGGGUAAGUGACAAUCACUUCUAGGGAACCAUCUCAGAGUGUAUUGGCAACUGGUCUCAGCUUAAAAAUCUGUAAGUUGAUUAGCAAAUGGAAACUAAAGCAGGACUCAUGUUUAAAGCGAUUUUUUUUAUAAGACUGGUAUAAGCAUCAUCCCAAAUCAUAUCCAGAAACGGCAUCAAUACCCUGCACAAUAGAACACAAACUGUGUGUGAUCUGGCGUGUAGAAAAGGACUUGACGUCCUCGACCUUCCACCUGAUAUCCAACCACACUCGAGAAGGAGUACUUCAAGAACCAUCAUUGUCUCUAAAAUCGUACAUGGGAAAACUCUCCAUAAGUUUGGGGCAUGUAACUGGUACACUGAUACGUACUCCUGCAGGAUAUGUACAUUCUUAGAUGUUCAUUUUCUUCAUCUUAUUUAGAUUAAAGGGGCAGUAACCUUGAAGAAGAUGAUAGGGAUGGGUUUUCCUUUGUUAGACGUGAUAUACCCGUAACCCGCCACUAGCGCUGAAAAGCCUUCUGGCUAAGGUUGUGAAGUUGUUCAGCCGUCUACUAAGCUUCUGCCAGUUGCUCAGAUGGGAGUUGUUGGUCGGAGUUGAAUGUAUCUUCCACAUAAUUGGAAUCGCACAUGACAAAUCAAGUUGGCUUCUCGAUGACGUCCUGCAGUCAUUUAUGAAAGCUCAUGGACCUCUGAAGAUAUCAACAAUUGGGAAUUGGUCAGUUCUCUUACAGUGUCAGAUGACUUUCUGUGCUGCUAUUGUGCCAAAUACCAAACGUAUCAGUGUUAAACUUAGUAAAGCUAAUACAAUCCAACUUUUCUUCUUUGUAUGUGUUCUUUACAUUAAAAGAACAAGAUUCUCCGGUGA